AGAACGAACGCUGGCGGCAUGCCUAACACAUGCAAGUCGAACGAGACCUUCGGGUCUAGUGGCGCACGGGUGCGUAACGCGUGGGAAUCUACCCUUGGGUUCGGGAUAACAGUCGGAAACGACUGCUAAUACCGGAUGAUGACUUCGGUCCAAAGAUUUAUCGCCCAGGGAUGAGCCCGCGUAGGAUUAGCUAGUUGGUGAGGUGAAAGCUCACCAAGGCGACGAUCCUUAGCUGGUCUGAGAGGAUGAUCAGCCACACUGGGACUGAGACGACGGCCCAGACUCCGUACGGGAGGCAGCAGUGGGGAAUAGUUGGACAAGUGGGACGAAAGCCUGAUCCAG
rnacentral:rRNA from 1 species